rnacentral:rRNA from 1 species
UACGUAGGGGGCAAGCGUUGUCCGGAGUUACUGGGCGUAAAGCGCACGCAGGCGGUCUCCUAAGUUUGGAGUGACAGUUGGUGGCUUAACUGCCAAAGUGCUUCGAAAACUGAGAGACUUGAGGGCUUCAGAGGGACACGGAAUUCCGGGUGGAGUGGUGAAAUGCGUAGAGAUCCGGAGGAACACCAAAGGCGAAGGCAGUGUCCUGGGGAGUACCUGACGCUCAGGUGCGAAAGCCAGGGGAGCGAACGGG